rnacentral:rRNA from 1 species
GACGAACGCUGGCGGCGUGCUUAACACAUGCAAGUCGAACGAAGAGCGAUGGAAGCUUGCUUCUAUCAAUCUUAGUGGCGAACGGGUGAGUAACGCGUAAUCAACCUGCCCUUCAGAGGGGGACAACAGUUGGAAACGACUGCUAAUACCGCAUACGAUCUGACCUCGGCAUCGAGGAUAGAUGAAAGGUGGCCUCUAUUUAUAAGCUAUCACUGAAGGAGGGGAUUGCGUCUGAUUAGCUAGUUGGAGGGGUAACGGCCCACCAAGGCGAUGAUCAGUAGCCGGUCUGAGAGGAUGAACGGCCACAUUGGGACUGAGACACGGCCCAGACUCCUACGGGAGGCAGCAGUGGGGAAUCUUCCGCAAUGGACGAAAGUCUGACGGAGCAACGCCGCGUGAGUGAUGACGGCCUUCGGGUUGUAAAGCUCUGUUAAUCGGGACGAAAGGCCUUCUUGCGAAUAGUUAGAAGGAUGACGGUAC